GAUGGGUGCUGGGUCCUGAAUCUUUAAUUUAAAAAUGCAGCAUGGAAUAGGAGACUUCAGCAUUUCUCAUUCAGAGUGCUUCUGGGGAAAAUCUUUAGGAGCUGGCUAAGUGAGCAGACUACAAGGAGCAUUGGUUCCAAAGUCCUGCCUGAACAGCUCCCACCUCAAGAGGUUACCUUUGAUUCAAGUUCACAGAUCCCUAGGUUCUAUCCACAGAAGACCCUUUGGAAGGCUCUUCAAACCCUAGGUUCGGAAUUCCAGCAAAAGACCUUGACACAAGCUCGAAAGAUAAAGAAAUGCAAAGUCCAAUCAAGUGCUGUCGCUCCCUGUGGUCACUUAAGACUCCAGCCUGACAGGAAUGUAAAGAAAUUCAACCCCUGGGAGCUGAGUUAUGUGCCUACCCUACCCUCUACCCUCUAAAUUCAUGAGAGACUAAAGAGCACCUCAGCAUGGCAAUCAGGUGGUGAGAACCCACACCGUGAUGUCUGCAGCUUCUAUAUCACACCUUCCCAAUAUCUCUGGUCAAUGUGCAAUACUAAUUAGUUGGAAAUGUAUAGCUGCAAAGAUAAUUCCAAAAUACUCCUUUGGAAAAGCAACCUUGAAAUUAUUUGGAUGAUAUAAUUAUUUCCAAAGUUAAGUAUCUGUAAUCCUGGGGAGAUUUAGAAUUACAUACAGAGACAAUAGAAAUCAAAUCUAUGGGACUCUAUACCUGUGUUAAGUUGUUUUUGUUGUUGUUAUUUGGGUUUUUUUAGAGAGGGAGGGAGAGGGGCAGAGGAAGAGGGAGGGAGGAUCCCAAGCAGACUCCACACCCCGUGAGUUGUUGGAUGGGGGGCUCUAUCUCCCUACCCUGAGAUCAUGAUCUGAGCUGAAAUCAAAAGUCAGACACUUAACCAACUGAGCCACCCAGGUGCCCCCAUAUAUUUGUGUUAAGUUAUAAAAGAAUUUGUGGGGCAGUUCGGGCGGCUCAGCGGUUUAGCACCUGUAUUCAGUCCAGGGUGUGAUCCUGGAGUCCCGGGAUGGAGUCCCACAUCAGGCUCCCUGCAUGGAGCCUGCUUCUCCCUCGGCCUGUGUCUCUACCUCUUUCUCUCUCUCUGUGUGUGUCUCUC